UACGGGGGGAGCGAACGUUGUUCGGAAUUACUGGGCGUAAAGGGCGUGCAGGCGGCCUUGUAAGUGGAAUGUGAAACCCCCUGGCUCAACCAGGGACCUGCAUUCCAGACUGCAAGGCUUGAGUACAGGAGAGGAUGGGGGAAUUCCCGGUGUAGCGGUGGAAUGCAUUGAUAUCGGGAGGAACACCAGUGGCGAAGGCGCCCAUCUGGCCUGAUACUGACGCUCAGGCGCGAAAGCUAGGGGAGCAAACAGG
rnacentral:rRNA from 1 species